CUAAAUAUAUAUAGAUACGCCACUCCCCUGUUGGGGCUGGCGACACUACCGCCACGCCAAAAUUACACCUGGUGGCAAUUCACAGUUACUAACAUACCCUUUGGGAACGCUUGAAAAAAAACCUCUUCAGUUUUAGUUCAAUGCUCAGUGGAUAUAUCCAAGCAACUCUCGAGUAGCUUCUGCUGUUUUCAUGAAAUGUCAAAACUCUCCUGACUUUGCAAAUUUUUGAUCGUGUUAGAAAAAAAUCUCGUCCGCUAAUUAAUGAGACAACGCUGAAACAGGUUCGCGGCGACAACAAAUGGAUGCUGCUGUGCUGUGUUAAAUUAGGCAGCCUCGUGAUGUCCCGGAAAACGAUGACCAUGGUGAUGGUGAAAAACGGAACUUCGGUGAAUUCGGAAGCGGCAAACCGGAUGCUUCCAGCUUUGCCAGAACAAACACGAGCCAGCCAGCGUUCUCGACAACGAAAAUGCUGACCUCCGUCGUGGAAGAUUCUCCUGCGAUUCUCCUUGAAAUCACGUUUUAAAACAGUGUAUAAAGCCAUGCGAUGUCUGUGCCAGCAUUACAGCAAAAUGAAGAAUUAUGUAUGUUUUAUCAUUUAAACUUGAGGAAAUAAAAAAAAUACACACUUUAUUAUUAUUAUUGUAGUGCA